AAAGCUCAAAUUUGAAAUCUGGCGCCUGCGGUGCCCGAGUUGUAAUUUGGAGAGGCGACUUUUGGAGGGGCCCGGCCUAAGUUCCUUGGAACAGGCCGUCACAGAGGGUGAGAAUCCCGUUCGCGGCCGGACGCCCCGUCCUGCACAAAGUGCCUUCUACGAGUCGAGUUGUUUGGGAAUGCAGCUCAAAAUGGGUGGUAAAUUUCAUCUAAAGCUAAACACUGGCGAGAGACCGAUAGCGCACAAGUAGAGUGAUCGAAAGAUGAAAAGCACUUUGAAAAUAGAGUCAAAAAGUACGUGAAAUUGUUGAAAGGGAAGCGCUUGAGGCCAGACUCGGUCCACGUCAAACAAACCUCUCUUCUCUGGUGGGUGCACUUGUCGUGGGCCGGGCCAGCAUCGGUUGGGACGGCGGGAUAAAGGCUCGGGGAAUGUGACUCCCUCGCGGAGUGUUAUAGCCCCGGGCGCCAUGCCGCCCGCCC
rnacentral:rRNA from 1 species